AUGCGUAUGACACACCAUGGUUUUAUUCACAUUGACGGUGUUUUGUUGUCUUGUUUUAUCCGAUUUUCAUUUCAAACUGUAAAUAAACAACCCAAACUUGUGUAAAAUUCAGCUGCCGGAGUAUUAACUGAUUCGUAAAAAUACUAAAUGGAGUUCAAUAAGGAUGAGUACGAGGAGGAGGAGUAUUUGGAAGAGCCGGGAGACAUGGAUUCUGAUCAUCACGAUAAUGAAUGGUUUCCUCAACAACAAACACUCUCUCCGCAGCCUUUGUGUUCUCAGGACCCGUUACCGAUUCCAGAUGAUUUGAGUGAAGUGAACCAUUUUCUCCCCGUCGAUGGUUCCGACGAUGACGACCAUUCAUGUUUUAAUUGCUCGAUAGUAUCCGAUGGCGCUGCGGAGAACUAUUUGUACUUUUUCAAAGCAAGAAUGUUCCGUCGGCUUUAUCGAGGUCAGAUGCGCCCAAGAGAAGUGGGAACUAAGAAUGUUUUUGGAGAUUCUGUUGAGGACGUAAUUAAAUGCAUUUGGAAGUUGUCUGUAGCGCACCCAAGGAACAAUUGGUAGCUUUUAAGAUACUUACGU